rnacentral:rRNA from 1 species
UACGGAGGAUGCAAGUGUUAUCCGGAAUCACUGGGCGUAAAGCGUCUGUAGGUGGUUUGAUAAGUCAACUGUUAAAUCUUGAAGCUCAGCUUCAAAAUCGCAGUCGAAACUAUUAGACUAGAGUAUAGUAGGGGUAAAGGGAAUUUCCAGUGGAGCGGUGAAAUGCGUAGAUAUUGGAAAGAACACCGAUGGCGAAGGCACUUUACUGGGCUAUUACUGGCACUCAGAGACGAAAGCUAGGGUAGCAAAUGGG